rnacentral:sRNA from 1 species
CCUGUUGUUUAAACUUUUAAGAUGAUCCCUAACAGGAUUAAAAUCCUCAGCAAGCAGGCAGAGGCAAGCUAUUCAGAAAAACAAGGUCAUGCUGCAGGGGUGUGUGUGUGUGUGGAUUUUUUUGGGUAAGCACAGGAAUCAACAAAGAGAUGUUAUAUAACUUCUAUUUAUAUCCUACUUGCUCACUAGCUGCAGGCAUACAAGAGUAGCUGAGAAGGGAAUUUAAUGAGCUCUCGGGGCUUGCUCACCUUCCAGAGCUGGUAGGAGCCAGCUUGUUUUUGAAGUGCGUCAGCAAAUGAAACUGGUGGUGGGUGGGUGGUUUGGGUAGGUGGACUGACUUGUUGCUAUGGUUUUCUUUAAUUCCCCUGUCUCUCAA